rnacentral:rRNA from 1 species
UACGGAGGGUGCAAGCGUUAUCCGGAUUUACUGGGUUUAAAGGGUGCGUAGGUGGGUUAGUAAGUCAGUGGUGAAAUCUUCGAGCUUAACUCGGAAACUGCCAUUGAUACUAUUAAUCUUGAAUAUUCUGGAGGUGAGCGGAAUAUGUCAUGUAGCGGUGAAAUGCUUAGAUAUGACAUAGAACACCGAUUGCGAAGGCAGCUCACUACGGAAUUAUUGACACUGAGGCACGAAAGCGUGGGGAUCAAACAGG